UUGAACGCUGGCGGCAUGCUUUACACAUGCAAGUCGAACGGCAGCGGGGGCUUCGGCCUGCCGGCGAGUGGCGAACGGGUGAGUAAUAUAUCGGAACGCGCCCAAUCGUGGGGGAUAACGCAGCGAAAGUUGUGCUAAUACCGCAUAAGAUCUACGGAUGAAAGCGGGGGAUCGCAAGACCUCGCGCGAGUGGAGCGGCCGAUAUCAGAUUAGCUAGUUGGUGGGGUAAAGGCCCACCAAGGCGACGAUCUGUAGCUGGUCUGAGAGGACGACCAGCCACACUGGGACUGAGACACGGCCCAGACUCCUACGGGAGGCAGCAGUGGGGAAUUUUGGACAAUGGGCGCAAGCCUGAUCCAGCAAUGCCGCGUGCAGGAUGAAGGCCUUCGGGUUGUAAACUGCUUUUGUACGGAGCGAAAAGGUCUGCCCUAAUACGGUGGGCUCAUGACGGUACCGUAAGAAUAAGCACCGGCUAACUACGU
rnacentral:rRNA from 1 species